rnacentral:rRNA from 1 species
UGGGGAAUAUUGGACAAUGGGCGAAAGCCUGAUCCAGCCAUGCCGCGUGUGUGAAGAAGGUCUUCGGAUUGUAAAGCACUUUAAGUUGGGAGGAAGGGCAGUAAGCGAAUACCUUGCUGUUUUGACGUUACCGACAGAAUAAGCACCGGCUAACUCUGUGCCAGCAGCCGCGGUAAUACAGAGGGUGCAAGCGUUAAUCGGAAUUACUGGGCGUAAAGCGCGCGUAGGUGGUUCGUUAAGUUGAAUGUGAAAGCCCCGGGCUCAACCUGGGAACUGCAUCCGAAACUGGCGAGCGAGAGUAGGGCAGAGGGGGGUGGAAUUUCCUGUGUGGCGGUGAAAUGCGUAGAUAUAGGAAGGAAAACCAGUGGCGAAGGCGACCACCUGGGCUCAUACUGACACUGAGGUGCGAAAGCGUGGGGAGCAAACAGG